rnacentral:rRNA from 1 species
AGAGUUUGAUCCUGGCUCAGGAUGAACGCUGGCGGCGUGCCUAAUACAUGCAAGUCGAACGGGAAGCAGCAAUGUUUCUAGUGGCGACCGGGUGCGUAACACGUAGCUGACCUGCCCUAACGCGGGGGACAACCGAGCGAAAGCACGGCUAAUACCGCAUGGACUCUGGUGGAUUAGCAGCACCAGAGGAAACUCACGGGGCGUUAGGAGGGGGCUGCGGCCCAUCAGGUAGUUGGUAGGGUAACGGCCUACCAAGCCGACGACGGGUAGGGGGCCUGAGAGGGUGGUCCCCCACACUGGGACUGACACACGGCCCAGACUCCUACGGGAGGCAGCAGUAAGGGAUAUUGCGCAAUGGGCGAAAGCCUGACGCAGCAACGCCGCGUGGAGGAUGACGGCCUUCGGGUUGUAAACCUCUGUCACUGGGGAAGAAACGCUUUGAGUUAAUAGUUCAAAGCCUGACUUAACCCGGAGAGGAAGCAGUGGCUAACUCUGUGCCAGCAGCCGCGGUAAUACAGAGACUGCGAGCGUUAUUCGGAUUCACUGGGCGUAAAGGGUGCGCAGGCGGCCGAGUGUGUGAGUGCGU